ACAAGAUGGCGGACAGGUAGGCGGAAACGCGUAACGUAAUUAUAACCCCGUCGUGAAACUUUCCGAUCGAGGAAAAGGAACACAUAAUUACCUGCAAAUCUUCUGAGGCUCAAGUGGCGAAACUUUCGUCAGAAACACACAAGUCAAGCAAGAUGUCCAAUCCAAAGGAGGAACUGGAAAAGAAACUCUAUGAUGCAGCUGCUGAAGGAGAUGAAGAGACAGUGACGGAGCUGCUCCAACAGGGAGUGGAUGUCAACUGUGUCAACAUGUCACAGUUUAAACAAUCACCACUUCACCAUGCAGCCGAAAAAGGACAUGUUGGUGUUGCUGAACUCCUCCUAAAGGCUUGGGCACAGGUGGACAGUAGG